rnacentral:tRNA from 1 species
GUCACUUUUGGCGGAGUGGUUAACGCGGUGGCCUGCUAAGCCAUUUCCCUUUGGGGAGCGCAGGUUCGAGUCCUGCAGGUGACG